UCUAAACUGCGCAGCAUCACAGUCACUACAACACUCCCGUACACAUAACCUUUAUGGCACAGCUGGAAUUUUCUUUUUUAUGAUAAUAUACAAUGUUGUGCAGUUUUCAAGCCGUGGAAAAUGUCCUGUUCAGAGCAAUGCUUGGUCUGCAUUGCUGUAAAAAAAAUUUAGGGGGAAUGUUGUCAGCCAAUCAGAUGGCAGCAGCUCAAGGCAUAAAAGCAUGCACAUAAUGUCAAGAGGUUCAGUUGUUCAGACUCUACAUCAGAAUGAGGAAGAAAUGUGAUCUAAGUGACCUUGACUGUGGAAUCAUUGUGCCAGACGGGGGUAGUUUCAAUAUCUCAGAAACUGCUGGUCUCCUGGGAUUUUCACACAGAACAGUCUCUAGAGUUUACAGAUAAUGAUGUGAGAAACAAAACACACUCAAUGAGCAGUUCUGUGGGAAGAAACACUUUGUUAAUGAGGGAGCUCAGAGGAGAAUGGCUGGGCUGGUUCAAACUGACAGGAAGGCAACAGUAACUCAAAUGAUCACAUGUUAACGGGUGUGCGGAACACAAUAAUAUGUUGAAUCUUGAAUUGGAUGGGUUACAGCAGCAAAAUAUCACAAAUAUACUCAAUGACCACUUUAUUAGGUACCUCCUGUACCUAAUAAAGUGGCCACUAAAUGCACUUAUGAGGAUUCCUGUUUGCCACAGCACACAUUGCUUUGCACUUACAAAUAUAAUGAUUUCAAAAUCCAAAGUAAAUGUAUUAUUUAGGUAUAUGAUUGUUUAUUUGUUAAAGACAACGUUAGUUCUGGUCUUGAAAAGGUUAAAAGACUUAUCUAACUGAAAGCUUGUACAAUAUCUUGGCUGUUUAAAAAAAAAUCUGCCUACUGGCAGGCAAAUAACAUUUUAGGAAAAUCAUCAAAAAUCGCUAUCAUUCCUUGACUAGUUCUGAGGGAUUUGAGGUGUGUAUCUGGCUUCAAAGAUCUCAGAUUUGAUUUAUGCAGCUAUUGAUUCAUACAUUUGUUUCCAUAAUUAGUUUUUGGUUCAUUUUUAUUAUAACUUACAUUUCUGAAUAGUCUGUCUACCUGAAUAAUUUAAGACCUAGCUUUCUGACAGUGCAGUAUUGCUUAGUAGUAUACUGGCUGUGUUCUUGAGCGCACCAAAGCCUUUUAACUGUACAGGGCUGAGCAAAGACUGGUUUGUGUGGAGGCAUCUCAGCCUACAUGGUCAUGACUUGAAAGUAAAAUUGAGUGCAUUUGACUGAAAAGCAGUUUACGCAUGUGAGAAUGCUGACAAAUUAAUAGUCAAAGGUCAGAAAGUGUGAAAUUAAGAAGAACAUUGGAAAUUAAGUCAUGAAAGAAUACUGCAAGAGGAAAAAUUAAAUCCAAAGAUCUUGUUUUACAUAAAGAAAAUCAGGACAACUAUCAGAGAUUCAAAGUUUCCAUUUACCUCUGUCUGGAAGUGGAAAAAUAUUAAUUGGGUUCUUAAUGAAUAUGUCUUAGCUGUCUCCACAAGGAAGAUGAAGCCUAACGGGCUUUGACAAGCUCCAGUUGUAGGUUGAUCAAAAGUCCAUUGUAUCCAAAAGGAGAAGGUUAUUAAUAAAUUUGCUCAGUGGCAGGUAGCAGUAGGUAGUUGACACAUUUUUAAUGACUGGAAGCCUUUUCUUUUCAGUCGAGUUCUACAGGGCUCUUGUGUUUUUUUGUAAUAUGAGUUAUGGAAGGUGCAUUACAAUGAAUGUGCAGAGGGGAAAAAAGCUGGCAAGUUGACUUUAAGCAAGAGAGCUUUAGAUAGUUGUUGAAGUAUGAAGCAGCACACAGUGGUGGAGAAACUCUAGCAGGCCAAUCGGUAUCUUUGAGGAGAAAGCAAUUGUCAUUGUUUCAGAUUGAAACCCUGCUCCACAGUGACUCAAGAAAAAUGACCUUUCCAGUAGUACCUGUCAGCAGGUUGGGAGAUGCUGUUGAUCUUUAGUUACUUGCUAAUUGCUGUGGGUGCCAGACUUUGGCAAACCAGAUUUAAUGUAAUUUGCAUUGCUGUUUUGUUGGCCAUUUAAAAUUCACUUGUUUGCUCGGGUAUGAGCCAGCUUCAAUUAACCCAGAUACUGCCAGUGGUGAAAACAACAGUUGCCAUUUUGGCCUCCUCUACUGUAAAGAUGAAGCCACACUCAGGUUGGAGGAACAACACCUUAUAUUCCGUCUGGGUAGCCUCCAACCUGAUGACAUGAACAUUGACUUCUCAAACUUCUGCUAAUGCCCCACCUCCCCCUCGUACCCCAUCCGUUAUUUAUUUAUAUACACAUGUUCUCUCUCCCCCCUCUCCCCCCCCCCGACUAUACCCCUUGCCCAUACUCUGGGUUUCCCCCCCCUCCCCCUUUUCCUUCUCCCUGGGCCUCCUGUCCCAUGAUGCUCUCAUAUCACCUUUUGCCAAUCACCUGUCCAGCUCUCGGCUCCAUCCCUCCCCCUCCUGUUUCCUCCUAUCAUUUUGGAUCUCCCCCUCCCCCUCCCACUUUCAAAUCUCUUACUAGCUCUUCCUUCAGUUAGUCCUGACGAAGGGUCUGGGCCUGAAACGUCGACUGUACUUCUUCCUAUAGAUGCUGCCUGGCCUGCUGCGUUCACCAGCAACUUUGAUGUAUGUUGCUGGAAUUUCCAGCAUCUGCAGAAUUCCUCAUGUUUGAGUUGCCAUUUUGGGCCAACAUAAGAAAAUGGCAUGGGGAAAUUUUGACCAUCAAAUGACAAGAUUUUUCAAAUAAUAGAAUUCUAGUUCUGAAAUAUUCUUGUCCUGAAUAUUUCUCCACUGAUGCUGCCUCUUCUAGCAUUUUCUGUUUCUGUGUUGGAUUGGCAGUUCUUUGCUCCAAACAGUGUGAGCCAUAUAUUAGGAAUUUUGAUAUUUUUACUUUGUAACAGUUUGAUCCUUUUGGAUUUUUGAUCCUGUCUGAAAAUCAUUUCAAAAUAUUUUAAUUUCCAUUACCCAUUUUCAUUCAGCAAUAGUAAAUCCAAUUAAUGCAUAUUUGUAACCUUCCUGUUCACAAUCCAGAACACAUUUUCUAUGUGAAGCAGUGAUUUACCUAUGCAAUAUUCAGUCAUUUGUUCACAAUGUGGCUUCUGUAUUUGCUUCAGUCCACAGUUGUGGCCCUAAGCUUCUAAUCAACUGUCACUUUAAUUCUCCAUCCCUUUUGUACUUUGAUCUGUUUUUGGCCUCCUACAUUCUUUCAUCAGGAAUAACACAUUUUUUAGAAAUUCAAAUUAGAGCCUCCUCUAAUAUAAUUUGUAGCAUUCCUUCUGUUGUUUUGAUAAUUUCAGAAUAUUCUACAUUUACGCCUUUUACUUACUAUAUCAUUCCUCUCAUUUACAUCUUUCCUCUUUCUAAUCAUACUUUCCCUCUUCACCCCUUGCCCUUUCUGUAUCUUAACCUGUUUCUCUGUUCCUUGUCCUGAUGAAAGACCAUUGAACUGAACUCUGAAUUGUUUCUCUCUUCACAGGUGCUGCCUGACCUGCUGAGUAUAUACAGAAUACUGUUUUUAUAAUUACAUUAUUAUUCACCUAAGGAUACUGGCUUGUAUUUGAUCUUCAGAAAAUAUCUAUAGCCCAUAUUUGAGCCUUGGCCUUUAGUUUCAAUUACACAUUUACCCAUAAUGGGAAAUUGUGAAUGGUUUUAAUCCUCUUGCCAAGAAUCCCACUUCAGCUUUGGAAAAGGACAAGUCAAACGAGCUAUAAUUGGUUUGUUGAUUGGCAGAAUGUCAAGUGCAGUCCUUUGGUAAAACCAGCUUAGUUAUCAUUGAAUGAGAAUUGAGCCUGUGCUCCAAACACACACAAAUCCAGGGAAGUUUACUCACCUAAAGAGCAGUAUUCCAAAUUGUAUCAGUCAUAUACAGUGGAUUCUGGUUAAUUGGGCCAUCAGGGGACAUCUCUUAAAUAACAGAACCAAAUUGAGAAAAUAGCCUGGAUUCCUUUUGUUUAUUUGGGACUCUAUGCCACUUAAUUGGGACAGGAGACUGUUGCUGAAGUUUCUGUGCAUGUUGUGUUCCUGUCAGAGAUUACACUGUGUGUAGAGCGUACGGUUUUUAAAUAGUGCCACCUCUGUGUGUUUGUAUUUUUAAAAAAAAGUGUUUUAUGUCACUGAUAGUUGGCAAGUAAUAAGCAGUAAGACAGUCUAGAACUGUGUUACUCACUAUGGUUUCAAGCAGUCCAGCUCGGAGAUGCCAGAAACGGCCAGGCAUGAAAAUAAAACUACUUCACUAUUUCAAGUUAAGAAUGGCAAAGAAUUUGAAGGUAUCAGCAAUCAUCUUGAAUGUUACUAUGAAAAUGAAGAUUUGGAGGAGGUAAUCGUCGAAAGUAUUGUUUGAAGGCAGUCCAUUAUCUGCACUAAGUGUCUGUGCUGAAUUUGUGCCAUUUACAGUCAAUCAAAAAUACAUGGUUGCAUCUGUGAAUAUUAGAAACUAAAGCACAGUUUUAUAGUACUGCAGUAGUCUUGGUAAAGUUCUAAUUUCUUCUGUAUUUCAUUUAAACGGCAGUUUGUCUUUUUUGUACUUUUUAAAUUAUUUCUGUGAAACUUCACCUAAUUGGGGCAGCCACUAAUUUGGCGACAACGUACUGGUUCUGCUGUCCCAGUUAACCAGAACUCACUGUAAUCGCAGAUCAAAAUAAUACAUCUAGAGUUGGGUCAAAUUAUUUAAAAACUUGAAAUAUAAAAGUUUAGUUUCAAUGUUAUUUUCUGUUUCAACCUCAUCUUAAUCAGUCAAAUUUAUUAUCACUGAUAUAUCAUGAAAUUUGUUGUUUUAUGGCAGCAAUAAAAAAUGGUGCGAAAGAGAAUGAAUGAGGCCUAGUCAGAAGUCUACAGAGGGGGAAAAACUGUUCCCAAAAUGUUGAGUGUUUUUAGGCUCCUGAUCUCCUCCCUGAUGGUAGGAAUGAGAAGAUGGCAUGUCCUGGACAUUGAGGGUCCGUAAUGAUGGAUGCUGCUUUGAGACGUUGCCGUUUGAAGAUCCCCUUGAUGUUGGAGAGGCUUGUGCCUGUGGAGCUGGCAGCCUCUUGAUCUUGUGUGUUGGAACCUCCAUACCAGGCUGUGAUGAAACCAGUCUGAAUGCUCUCCAGCAUCUGUAGAUAUUUGUUAAAAUCUUUGACCUAAUAAAUCUACUCAAACUCUGAAUACAUACAGCCACUAGCAUGCCUUCAUGAUUGCAUCAGCAUGUUGGACCCAGAAUAUAUCCUUUGAGGUGUUAAUGCCUUUGAAAAUGCUCACCUUUUCCACUCCUGUACCUUCAAUGAGGGCAGGUGUGUGUCUCCCAAUCUCCCGUUCCUGAAGUCCACAAUCAAUUGUUUGGUAUUGCUGACUGACAUUGAGUGCAGGAUUGUUGUUGCGACACUGCUCAGCCAGCUGAUCUGUCUCACUCCCGUACACCACUUCGUCGCUGCCUGAGAUCCUGCCAACGACAGUAGUGUCAUCAGUGAAUUUAUAGAUGGUAUUUGUGCUGAGCCAUGUAGUCAUGAGUGUAGAGAGAUGAGAGCAGUGGGCUCAACAUGCAACCUUCAAGUGUGUUUGUGUUGAUGUCAGCAAGAAAGCAAUAUCAUUACUGAUCUGCACUGACUGGUCUCCUGAUGAGGAAGGCCCAGGCUUUGAAGCUUGUUGAUUAGUAUCACUAUUGAGCGGGGUGAUGGUGUUAAAUGUCGAGCUGAAACACUUUUUUUCAUUCCUACAAUAAUCCAAUCAUUGAUGCAGUUAUUAAAAGUGUAGUUAACCAAUCAUCUGGUAUUCUCUCCUGUUCCUACCCAUGUGAAAUUUCCCUCAGAGUAUAUGAACUCCUUUAUCCUCUGUUUGAUCUGUGAAGGGGAAUCUUGACCCUCAAAACACGUGUGUUUUAAUUAUAAGGUAACUUGCAUGGCACAACUGCCGUAGCCGAGAGAGGUGUGUUUAUUUAGAAUUGGGCACUUUUUUUUAAACAGGCGAGGAAAACUUCCUGAAUGUUUACAAAUCUAAAAAUUUGAGACCAUCCUGUGUUGGUUUGGUAAGCAUUUGCAGUACUAUGUAAGGUUUCCAAAUACACUGACAUUUUUUUAAAUACUGAUCCAAGCUUGUGCUUGUUCUCAUAUCAAAGUGAGAAACUUAGCCAAAUUCCUGGUCUUACAUCUGCUGUGCUGAGAAUCAGGUGCAUGUCUAGCAAUGAGCCUGUCUGUGUGGAGAAGCUGCUUCUGAGAGCUGGUGCCAUCAUUGUGGAUUAAUGCUGAACAUUGUUGAGCUUGUUACUAUGGAGAAAUCUCUGGGCUGGGAGAGUUGUGGAGCCACACGGAAGGAGGAAGAAGGCAACUGAAGUUCCCUCCAAAAAGGUGAUCAAUACACGGAGGAGAUGCUGACAGUCCCAUCAAUGAUCUGCACUCAUUGCUGUUCUCAGUGUAAAAUGGUCACAUUACUCUCCUGAUCCACCCAACACUGACCCUCAGAGACGACCUCUCCAUAAAAGGCUGUGGUCAAUUCAUUGCUGAGGCAGUAUUGGCAAAGGGCAAGAUUUCACACCAGCUAUCUGGUGCAGCCAUGUAAAAAGCAGAGUUCCCAGCCAGUUUUUUUCAGCAUGAUCUGCAGUUUGAGCCAAGUCGUCUAAAAUAAUGCAUGGCUAUUAAGUAGCAGUCGUGUUUGUCGUGUUUGUGCUGGAGGACCAUAAGCACUACAGUGAAUCGAGUGUACAGAUGGUUUGGUGUUGAGUUCUUCUAGAGCUGUCCUUUAUUUGUCGAUACCUAUUAACGACAGGUUAGGAUUAAAGAGAUUUGUCAGGAGAAAUGUCUACCCUGUGCAGAAAUUCUAAUGGCGCUGACUCUUGAUGGGCACGGUUCCAUGAGUGCUGGCAGCCAUCACCAAAGUGGCC